rnacentral:rRNA from 1 species
ACUCAAAGGAAUUGACGGGGGCUCACACAAGCGGUGGAGCAUGUGGCUUAAUUCGAAGCAACGCGAAGAACCUUAUCCUGGGCUUGACAUGUACGGAUUAGUUUGCUGAAAGGUAAAUGACACCCUUACGGGUGGAACGUACACAGGUGCUGCAUGGCUGUCGUCAGCUCGUGCUGUGAAGUGUCGGGUUAAGUCCCUUAACGAGCGAAACCCCUGUCGCUAGUUACCAUCGGGUCAUGCCGGGUACUCUAGCGAGACUGCCGGUGUCAAACCGGAGGAAGGUGGGGACGACGUCAAGUCCUCAUGGCCUUUAUGCCCAGGGCUGCACACGUGCUACAAUGGCGCGCACAAAGCGACGCGAGGCCGCAAGGCGGAGCAAAUCGCAAAAAACGCGCCCCAGUUCAGAUUGCGGUCUGCAACUCGACCGCAUGAAGUCGGAAUCGCUAGUAAUCGCGUAUCAGCUACGACGCGGUGAAUAUGUUCCUGAGCCUUGUACACACCGCCCGU